UGAGUAAGUAUGGAACACGUUUUUUUA
rnacentral:sRNA from 1 species